ACGAAUUUUCAGGGGUUGUGCUGGUUCUUACAAGUGCACACCUCUUUAAUUCCAUUCACACCCACUGUGCACUUUAAAAGACGUAUUUCCCCCGUUUACGUGCCUUUACCGGCUUGGGAUUUCGUCUGUUUUACACACACUUUAUUGUAUUAGAAUGUAAUCUAGCGGAAACGCUUAAAACAUAAUA
rnacentral:misc_RNA from 1 species